AUGGCCAUUUUCAAAGAGUUCUGUGUUGGGUCUAUCGACCUCGGGCACCUCAACUAUGGGAUCAUCUCGCUCAUCCCGAAGGUUCCGGGCGCCUCCGACAUCCGUCAGUUUCGUCCAAUCACGGUCAUCAACGUGAUUUUUCGGAUUCUGGCUAAAGGGUACGCCAAUAGGGUGACCCUCCUUGCAUACCAGAUUACCCACCCCAACCAGUCCGCCUUCAUUCAAGGGCGAUACAUUCUGGAUGGGGUGCUAGUCCUUCACGAAGUCCUCCAUGAGGUGCGCGCUAAACACCUUAAGGCGGUCUUCUUGAAGAUUGAUUUCCAUAAGGCCUACGACACGGUUAGUUGGCCCUUCCUUCGGGAAGUAUUGCUCCGAAAGGGCUUCGACGACCGUUGGAUCUCCAGGGUUAUGCAGAUGGUCUCUUGCGGUCGCACUGCCGUGAACAUCAAUGGGGAGAUCGGCCCUUACUUCCCCACCUUCUGUGGGGUAAGGCAAGGUGAUCCCUUCUCCCCCUUCUUGUUCAAUAUGGUGGUGGACGCGCUUGCCGCCAUUCUAGAUAAGGCUAAGGCUGCUGGCCAUAUUCAGGGGAUCACUCCCCACCUGGCUGGCAGCUCCGGGAUCUCCCUCCUCUAG
rnacentral:rRNA from 1 species